AGCGAACGCUGGCGGCAGGCUUAACACAUGCAAGUCGAGCGGGCAUCUUCGGAUGUCAGCGGCAGACGGGUGAGUAACACGGGGGAACGUACCCUUCGGUUCGGAACAACUCUGGGAAACUGGAGCUAAUACCGGAUACGCCCUUAUGGGGAAAGGUUUACUGCCGAAGGAUCGGCCCGCGUCUGAUUAGCUAGUUGGUGGGGUAACGGCCUACCAAGGCGACGAUCAUUAGCUGGUCUGAGAGGAUGAUCAGCCACACUGGGACUGAGACACGGCUCAGACUCCUACGGGAGGCAGCAGUGGGGAAUAUUGGACAAUGGGCGCAAGCCUGAUCCAGCCAUGCCGCGUGAGUGAUGAAGGCCUUAGGGUUGUAAAGCUCUUUUGUCCGGGACGAUAAUGACGGUACCGGAAGAAUAAGCCCCGGCUAACUUCGUG
rnacentral:rRNA from 1 species